rnacentral:tRNA from 1 species
CGCAGAUUAGAGCAGUUGGAAGCUCGCUAGGUUCAUGUCCUAGAGGUCACAGGUUCGAAUCCUGUAUCUGCAA